rnacentral:rRNA from 1 species
UACGGGGGGAGCAAGCGUUGUUCGGAUUUACUGGGCGUAAAGGGCGCGUAGGCGGCGCAACAAGUCACUUGUGAAAUCCCCAGGCUCAACCUGGGAACUGCGUCUGAUACUGGAUGGCUUGAAUCCGGGAGAGGGAUGCAGAAUUCCAGGUGUAGCGGUGAAAUGCGUAGAUAUCUGGAGGAAUACCGGUGGCGAAGGCGGCAUCCUGGACCGGCAUUGACGCUGAGGAGCGAAAGCCAGGGGAGCAAACGGG